CUUGGCCCCUUGCUGUCUGCAAAUGGCCUGCUGUGCCACUCUGCCGCUUGGAACUAGCAGAGUAUAGACUGAAACCUCCAACCGCCCUCACAGGAAAUGCCAGCACUGCCAGAUUCAUCACCAACAGCUUUGCUUAAACUUGCUGCUGAAGACUGAUGGAACUCAGGGCCAACAACAGCCCACAUUAAGGUGUCCGUCUCAGGGUCCCAAGUCCCACUAAAAGUCUCAGAUAUGCAAAAAAAGUCUUAACAUCAUUCACUUUUUUAUCAUGAAAAGCUGAAAUGUUUGAUGUUGGUGAAAUAAAUGUGUUUAAUACUUCAGUGAAUAGAAAUUCAACAUCCUUUCAAAUUCAACACUGGAUAAAACAGUCUAACAUACGUGCAUUCACCAGUGAUGAAGUUGUCCUGGCUAAAACCCCUGGCACCAGCUUCUACCUGGGCAUCAACUGUCAUCCCAUCGACUCCCCUAAACCCCAGUACAGUGCCCUUUUCCAGCAGGAAGCAGUAAAAGAAAGAAAUCUCCGCCCUUUUUCCUAAUAAUAAUAAUCAUAAGACGGAAAUGAAAGGGCUUUGGCCCAGACAGGACACUGUAGUCAGUAAAGCCUUAGAGGCGGAACCAAGGAGCUCUGUCUUCCCCACCCCUAGGAAUUUGCCUCUGGCAGGAAAUAAAUGCCAAUGAGAUACCUGUGCAUCCCUAAUGCUCCUCAGGCACCACCCCCAACCUAAGAGAAUGUAUGCCCCCACUCCGUGUCCGGAGAGAUAGCCAACCCCGGGGAGAUGCCAGACCUGGGUGGGGGGGGUGUCUCUUCCCGUAUUCUUAAAAUAAAGAUCAUUUAUAUUUCA